GGCAACUUACACUCAGAGAUGGGAAGUAUCUGGCAAAGAUCACUCGGCUUCUAAGGUGGGCCCAGGUAGUUGGAUUCCAAAGCUUACGUGCACAACAACUGCUCUCACUCCCUGAAGUCUGGAGAGGUUGCUUAAGGGAGAAAGGAGAAGCUCACAGUCAGGACUCCCCACCUGUCAUCCCCACACCUCUAAUCCCAUCACUGCCGGAGGGAGGAAAGAAAUGGUUAAAGGCUCAGAAGAUUUAAGUCCUUACUUUAAAAGUCAAACAGAAUUUAGUAGCCAAGUCAGGACUAAGAGUCAAUGCUUUUGCCUUUACCUUCAGCAUGGACACUAACCUCAGCAUGCUCAGCAUCCCUGCAGCCCACCCUGUGUUCUGGUGACCAGCUUCAGUAUGCCAGCUUCCAACUCAUGAGCUCUGCCUUUAGACUUAACACCAGAGAGCAAAGGUAAUUGACAGCCAGACCUGAGAUUUUAAUCGUGUUAAAGAAUGGAUGAAAUGCCGUGGGUUCUUGGGGCUGCUUGGCCACACCAGAGGCCUCUUCCAGAGCAGAGCCUCUCUGCGAACUUGUGGAGGUGCAGAGGGAUGUGCAGUGCUAAUUUAAGGAGGGUGGCUUUGGACCAUGAAGACGGGGGCCAUCUCCUAGGAGUGAUGGAGGGGGGAUUUUGAAGUCUUGCUCCCCUGAGCACUGCAUGGAAUGCAUCUUCCAGACCAGAACUGAACUACCCUACUAUCUUACAU